AAAACAAAAAACAAAUAUGAAUUUUUCUGAUUAAAAGGCUCUUUUGCCCCACAAAAGUUAUUGGGGCAAUAUCUGGAGACAUUAAUUUCUCUUAAGGCUUAAUGCUUCUGGCCACCAGUGGGAAAAUUUUUUUCUAAGCAUUCUACACCACAUCAGAUUCCCCUACAACAAAGGGUUAAUCUGAACAAAACUGGCAGUUCUGCUGGUUCUCAGAGCUUGCUGUAAUCUAAAUAGCUCAUCCUUAUAGAACAGUUUGAACAGGAUGCAAAUGUUCAACCACUCAUUGCUGAAAAUCUAACAAUCAAUAGAAACUGUGGGGAUGCUAAAAUUGCUCAUAUAAUAUGCUCCUUUUAAUAAUUUGAUUCCAUAAGUACAGAAGUGGGUAAUGCAUGUAGUAGUUUGUCCUGUGUUAUUUUGCAUGUUUGAUAAAUGGGCACGUAUGUACAUGUGUAUGUGUUUAAGACAGAGACUUAGUGUACCAGGAUAGUCCUUAAGGUUCGCUGGCCUCACAGGCAAGCUUCCUGGAAUUCUCCUGUUUGAGCUUUACAUCUUCCAAUAGAGGACUGGAUUACUGACUCACACUAGUGCACCCACUUUUAUCUGUCUUAUCAGUAUGUGAUAUCAAGUCCUCACCCUAUUUAAGUGCUUUCUUGGCUAAGCCAUCACACUACCUCCAUCCCAUUUUAGAGGGUGGGUGGGGGAGACACAGAGAUUCAUAAAGACUAUGUAAUCUGUGAGCAAGGUUAUUUAAGUGUAAUCCUCAAACACGGUCUCCAUCCCCUUUUAAUAUACAGUCCUGUAUGGCUGGCAUAAAUGUAUCAUAUAGAAUACCUGAAAAAUUAAAAGAAAUCAAUACAAAAUGAUCAAAAGUGUAAAGAAAAUCACAUUUCACUUUGUUUUUCAAAAAAGGAGAAAUUCCCAAAGCAAAUCCUUUUACAUACUUCUUAAUACCUACUUGAUAUUGAAGAAGGACUUUUGAACUUUAAAAAAUAUGAUUUUAACCAAAUUAGGAAUGAUCACCUUAAAUUUACAUUAUUGUAAUAAAUUUCCGCUUUGAUAUUCCCAAUAGUUUGUAAACACAAAGACUCCAUCUUCCUGCUUACUGAAACGUAAGUGUGGGUUUGUGCUCAUUUAAAAAACAAGUUUUUAUUAUUUAUUUAUUUUUAUUGUUAUCAGCAUUUUGCAUGAAGAUAUUUAUGUGCACUGUGUGUGUGCUUAAGGCCCAUGAAUCAGGAGAGGAGUGGAGCCCAGCAGAGCUGGUGUUGUACACCAUUGUAAGCUGCUGUGUGAGUUCCGAUAAUCCAACUAAGGUUCUCCUCAAGGGUAAACCGUGUUUGUAACGACAGAGCCAUGGCUCCAACACUCCAGUCUGUAUUCACUGAAAUAUCUCCAUUUGUGUUGCUAAUAUUCACUCUUCUCUGACUCGAGUCCUGUAAAACUUCAGUUUAACAUGCUCUGUAAUAGUUUUGUACACACGCACACUUUCCUGGAAGUUUUAAAGAAGGGGCUCCUUUUAUGUCCAUUUGUAGAAAACAGCUCGAGACAACCAGUCAGAAGGAUUCCGUCUCGUGUGAUUUUUACAAAGCUUAUUUAAAAAGAGCAAGGGAGCGUGAAGAAGCAAAGGGAUGUCAUCAGGGUUCUGAAGAGCUAAUUAGUGAGACCGUGCUGAAACAAUAUGAAUAGGUGUGAAAAGAUGCUUCUGGCCUCAAUAUGCAGAGGAGAAAAGGCCAGACAAAUGACAUAAAGGAAAGUGGUAAUACGCUAGAGAUUAUGUCGUUCGAAAGAAAGAAAACAAUGUUAAAACUCAGUAGUAUCCCUGAGUCAAUUAAGAGUUAUAGCACUUAGUUGUGAUUUCCAGACUCGUUAGGACAAAACAAAAAUUCAAAGAAGUGAUGAUAUUUUAUUAGCUUCAAAUGUUUGUCACCUUGACUAUAUACUGUUUGGCCUCUUGUUUGAGGAUCCAGGAACCUCCUGUAUAGUGGAGAUAAUUCCAAAGCUCUACUUGCCUCAACGUUGGUUGCUACCUAUUUAUUAUAAUAAAUUACACUUGUUAAAUAGAUAUUACUAUAAUAAAUUACGCUGGUUCAAUAAGUUGUUAGGGAAGUGAUGAUCUUUUAUGCUUUAAAUAUUUGUCUUUAACUACAGGCUCGUUGGCCUUCUGGUUGAAGAUACUGGAACUUUCCACUCCUGUCUAGUGAGAUUACUUCCAUGGUUCUGCUUGCGAGUUUAGUCACUACCUAUUUACUAUAACAAGUAACACUUGCUAAGUAAAUAUGAAUUAUAACAAAACAAGAUUCAGAAGUUUAGCUUAAAAAGAUAUGCUGGAACAGAAAAGAUUUCCUAAAGAGCUCCUGUGGACCUUGUAUUGACAUAGUGCAUCAUGGGCAGAAAUGGACCGGGAAAGAAAGGACGAUAUCCUAUUCUCAUAAGCAAUGUUGUAGAAGAUUCCCAUAGUUCACCCUUAUAGAAAUCUCUUAGAAGCAGGGAGAGUAGAAGAUUUGAAAUGCAGAGAUACAAAAGUUACCUGUGGAGGCCGAACCUAGAUCUGGCACGUGACAUAUGACAGAAAAAUCAUAGAAGCGUUACUAAAGAGAAUGAAAGGCUUGUCACAUGACAAGAGCCGUUUUGAAGUCAAAGGAAGUCAACCCAUACCAUUGACAAUGUACAACAUAGAAAACAGUAUAAACAUGUUCUCCUAUGAUAAGGUGAUCAAAGAGAAUAAAUAUAGCAAGAUGAGAGAAAAGGACCACUGAGGUAGUCACAAACAAAUGAAAACUGAAUUAUUUUCUUUAUUCUUAGGAAUUGUGUUGGUCCAGUUGUGUAAUUUUGUAAUUUGUGUUGAAUUUUUUUCUUUCUUAAAAAUACUAAUUUGUAUCCUAAUGAUGUUCACAAUUAUGAUGUAUUUUUCUCAAAGGUAGGCUCCCAAAAUUUAAAACUAUUGGGUGCACAAAACAUUAAGCCAUCUCUGUAAUGCUAAUUUAAGGGGAGAAAAUACUGGGAGGCAGUGGAGAGAUGCAUUAUAACUGGAGAAAUACAAUAUGGCAUAGCAAGCAGUGAACUCUGAAAAGCUAAUAGAAUUAUGAAGUUGGAAACUAAUGGCAAUAUGUAUGUAUUUGCAAGCUACGAAAUAAACAGAUACUUAAACUCAUUUUGACAUAGACUUAACAGACACACAUUUGAAAAUUUCCUCAUGUAAAGAAAAAUAUGUAGUUAUUAAUUGCAGAUAUAACUGACCUUAUACUGUUAAAGAUACCUAUUUCACAUGCAUCAUGUAUCUGUGUAUACUCCUAAACAUGAGCGAAAAGUGGAAAACAUGCAAUUAGCACAUGUUGAAAAGAAAUCCUAAGAUCAAAAUAGAUUAAAAUGUCUUUAAUGUAUUAUUUUGUGGUAAUUUUUUUAAAAAAAUUACUUCUUUCCUCGCUACUUUGUUGCUCAUUUUUCUUGUUCUUGUUUCCAACUCUAAUAGAUUUUCUCAGAGGCAGUAAAGUUGACAGUAGAAAAGCCAAUAAAACCAAAUGUGUCAGAAAAAUAAAUGAAUAUUCAGUCAUAAAGGCACACAUUGUGCAAAGCUAAGUAAAAACAUCCUUCAAAUGAAUAUAACCUCUUAACAAUAUUCAAGGGAGGAUUCAUUCCUGUAAGUGCUCAUUAUAGUAAUCCUUUGAACUUAAAUUUUUAAUUAAAUUUGAAAUCCACAAUGUAAAUUUGAAAUAUGUUGCAUUUAGAAAUCAUAUUCUAGUUAAGGGGACUGAAAUAACCCAAAAUCUAAUAAGAAAAAAAGAAUCCCUUUCAACAUAAUUUCUUUAGUGGUUUAAUGAUCAUUAGUCAAGAAAAUUAAGUAAAUAAAUAAAUAAGUAGAUAAAUAAAUAAGUAGCCUGAAUUGCAAUUUAAUAUAGGGGUAUAUUGCUCAUACCAAGAACUUAGUAACAAUAAAUGUAGGCUCAACAAAAAUACAAAGUUAUUUGACCAAAAAAUUUAGUAAGCAUGUUUUCUUAUAACUUUAAAUCAGAUGUGUUUUUCCACUGUCAUGUAGACAGCAUUCAUAAAAGAAUAAACAUAAUUAAAAUCUAAAUGAAAUAAAUUGGACAUUAAUUAAAUGUUGUAUGUCUUACAAACAGUGAUAACCCAAAGCACAAUUUUCUAUUGUUACAGGAAACAGUACUAAUUUUUUUCUCAAAUCUCAAAGCCUUUGUAAAGCAUGCUCCCCUCAUUUUACUAUGAAAUGACUUUGCUAUGUUGCUGACUCCUUAUUAGUGAUCUCAGUAAUACUAAUGCACAUUCCAUAGAUGUAGAGCUCAAGGUGAAUCAAGUGAACUUCAAAAGAAUCAAUUAUUGUAUUUUUAAAUUUUAAAUAUUUGUGAACAAAAAUAAAGACUAUAGUUCUCAAAAUAGUAUGUUGUAAAAUUCAUAACUAUAUUUUGACAAUAAUACAUGCGAUUUCAAGUGCCUUUUUCAUUUUGUUUAAAACAAUUAAUUCAGAAAAGGAGGAAUACAUCCGUACUUGAGACAUUGACUCACAUAUAUACCUCCAUAAUGUUGGUGUAACCAUGAGUAUUCUGUUAAAUCAGCAACAGAACGGGUACAAGUAUUUUUAAAGACCUGCAUUCAUGUAUGUGCUGACUUUGACUGACAGUAUUAAUUACAUGGAUGGGCGGGUGUUAUCCCAUCAGCUUUUCAGAGACAAUUAUUUAUAGGUCUAAAGUUCAAAAAUGAUACACACACACACACACGUACUCACACACGCACGCAUACACACGCACACACACACACACACACACAAGAUAAGAUCAGCUAAGAGUUAAAAGCAACAACAAAAGUACAGCCUAGGUGUUAUCCCAGGUCAUCAAUCUUUCAGCCCUUCUUUCUGAAACUAACUUUAGAUUCUUUGUGAAGACAAUGCAUAUGCACAAGAAUGAAUCACGUGAUAACGUGCUGACAUCAAGAGUGAUUUUAUUCACUUGUUUGGUCAAAAACACACAAGUUAUACAUCUUUCUAUAUUUCUAGCAUGUGAUUGGACACAAGCUCUUGGGAUUUACAGUGGAUGUCCAAAACUACAAAAGUCCAAACAUAAUUCCACAAGUUAAAUUUCAUACUUAGACAAAUAUAGAAUAAACAUAGUAAAAUGUAUUGUGACAUAAAAUUAUAAACAUAAUAUUGUAAAAGUUGUAAAUUGACAAUGGAUUUUUGUUAUUAGUCUUGUUAUGAAAAAGAUGCAAAACUUGAUCAUGAUGCAAAAUGAAAGAAGGUGAUUUGUUUUGUUCCAUUUUGUUUUGUUUUAGAUAGAGUGGGGUUUAUUUAACUGUGUAACAAAAGGAUUAUUGAGUGAUCGCAGGGAGUGUGCUUGUAUAUGCUUUAAAGUUUCAGGCUUUGUUAGGGUAAAAAUUCUUUUUUUUUGAUCCAAAGGAAAAAAUAAUCCACAGUGUGGAGAGAUGGGUCAGCAGUUCAGAACACUCCAUGACAUUCUACAGGACCCAAGUUCAAUUCCCAGCACCCAUGUCAGAUCUCACUAUAAAUCCCCAAGAGCAUAUGUCCAAUCACCUGCGAGAAAUAUAGAAGGAGAUGGAAGUCGCUAUUCUUUGACCACGGGAGGGAAUCCUAAACAAGGGGACCUAAGCCAACACAUUUACCUUAAGUGCUCCUGUGUCUCUCUUCCUCAUCUGACUCUGGUGCCAUGUGGUGACCUACCUGCUUGCUUCUCUUCUGGUGUACACUGAGCAAAUAAGCCAUUUCCCCAGGACACAGAAGAGGUGAAGGGUGCAAUUGCUUUGAGGCUCUCUCCUACUCCUUAUUGUUUCUUGGGCUACAGACAAUAGAAAGUGAAUUCUGCUGACCUCGGUAUUGAUUUGCUUGUGCACAAACAAAUUCAACAUUCAUAAAAAAAAUCAAAGAAAAUGUUGAGAUCUGAACCUGUGAGCACGAGUGUUUGCUAUUGAAAUAUGCCUAAAUCUGAAAAA
rnacentral:sRNA from 1 species